UUCUUAAAGCUAAGGAUUAAGGCAAAUCCCAAAAGCUUACCCCAAUGUUAACGCCGCAACGAAAACACGUCGCUCCAACGGGCGCACGAAAGCUCAAUCCGUCGCCUCCAACGCGUUCGCAAGCUCGAUCUCCACCAACGCCGCGAAUUUGGGCGAGAAAUAUAGAGAGAUGAGAGAGAUAUUUAGAGAGAGAAAGAGAGGGUUUCUCUCACUACACCAUGUGCGUGUGAUGCUUGGUGCUGGCUGCAACUUGAGGAGGAAGAAGCCUAGUAGCUUCUACUUAUAGUCAACACCUCAAUAGUAGCAUACACUAUUCACAUCAGGCAGCUCCAAAUCUGAUAUCUUUCGUCGGAACUUCCUGAAUAUCCGUUUGAGCUCAAAUCUGACAGUCAUGUUCGGUUUUGCUUAACUUUACGAAAGAAAUUUUAAUCUUUCAGUUUCGACCCCGUUUGGUCACCGAAAACUGUACCGAACUGCAAUCUUUAUCAGAUAGCUUUCGGAUUUUAUUUCUCACUCUACGGGUGUCAGAAUAAUAUGAAACUUUAAAUCUAGCCUCAUAAAAAUAUUUCUGACUUAUCCUCCAGUUUUCAUAAUUUUCUGACACUGUGCAUUUUCUGCUAAUUUAUCUGCCUCAUUCUCACAGAAAAUUUUAAAUCUUCUGUUUUCGCUCCGAUUUCAGCACAGGUCAUUCCCAACUUAUAUUUCACUUCUCUAAAUCCAAUAAAAAUAGUCUCUCAUACUAUUUUUAUUUAUUUUCACUUUUACAUUUAAAAUCCGGUAUGUUACAUUCCACCGCAACCUUACCGGAACCUUUUAAAUGUACACCAUAACUUCAUAGUUUUAGAAGUCUGGGACCCUACACUGUCUGCCCCACGGGCAUCACUCCGUUGUAAACUACAUAUUUGCAAAGUCUGUAUGCCUUUCGGGCACACUCUGUUUUAUUAAUAUAUAUAUUUAGGCAUUCGGUUCUUUCAGCCGAACAAUCAUUGUGUAUUUCAUUUAUUCGGCUCUUUCAGCCGACCAGUUACUGUGUACUUCUUCCAUUCACUCUUCUGCCAACAUUGAUCCCUGCACAGUUCGUACAUUCGGCUCCUCCAGCCGAACCAGUUUUAUAGUGAAGAUUUUCAGACCCGGCUGAUUCGAUCCCUCGUCAGCCGAAUUGCUUGAUCUGUCGAAGGGAGCAAACUUCGAGGGUCACUAUCCGCAGCCGUUCCUC
rnacentral:lncRNA from 1 species